AUUGAACGCUGGCGGCAGGCCUAACACAUGCAAGUCGAGCGGAUGAAGGGAGCUUGCUCCUGGAUUCAGCGGCGGACGGGUGAGUAAUGCCUAGGAAUCUGCCUGUAGUGGGGGAUAACGUCCGGAAACGGGCGCUAAUACCGCAUACGUCCUGAGGGAGAAAGUGGGGGAUCUUCGGACCUCACGCUAUCAGAUGAGCCUAGGUCGGAUUAGCUAGUUGGUGGGGUAAAGGCCUACCAAGGCGACGAUCCGUAACUGGUCUGAGAGGAUGAUCAGUCACACUGGAACUGAGACACGGUCCAGACUCCUACGGGAGGCAGCAGUGGGGAAUAUUGGACAAAGGGCGAAAGCCUGAUCCAGCCAUGCCGCGUGUGUGAAGAAGGUCUUCGGAUUGUAAAGCACUUUAAGUUGGGAGGAAGGGCAGUAAGUUAAUACCUUGCUGUUUUGACGUUACCAACAGAAUAAGCACCGGCUAACUUCGUG
rnacentral:rRNA from 1 species